rnacentral:lncRNA from 1 species
UUAUGUAAGACAUUAUGCAUCGUGUCCCAUAUGCUUCGGAUAUAGGAUCGAUUGCAAAUGCUAUAAUAUUUUACCAUUUUAAAGUUUUCCAAAUGCCUAGCGCAUUUAGAGGGAAAAGGACAAGAAUCGGUUUUGACUAAGAUAAUUAAACAACUAUCAAAGGUUAAUCCAAAGUUUGCCGAGGAUUGGUCGCUUGUGAGUGGUUGGAAGUAUAGUAUUGGAUGGACCAUAUUGACAUUAUUAUGAAUAGAAAAGAUUCUAUUAAGAAUGAGUUGUCAUAUGUAAAAUAUGGAAACGUUUCCAUAUUGGGAGUUGGAUAUUGAGUGUAUAUGUCUAAAUUAGAAAAUUUAUGCAAAAGGAUGUUUAAAGGAAUGUACUUUGAGUGAGAGACAUCACAUCUAUGGAAUUGUCUUGUAACAAUCUCCGAUAGAGGACUUUGUAAUUUCAUUGGCAAUAGUCAUUGUGACUUUAGUGCAGUGAUAUUAUGAAAGGAUCAUUGCAUAAAAUGUUAGAAUCUAACAUAUUCCAUAAGUGGCAAGAAUUUGAUAUUCUUUCACUUGUGAAAAGGAUUAGGAGUUGUGAAGUGAGUAUGAUUGGAAAUGUGUUCAUUUGAUCUAUUUCACAAAGUAAGAACCAUAGGUAAGCAUUGUGUGCAUGCUAAGAGCAUGGGACAAGUGUGGUAAUAAUUCAAGUAAGAAGUUGAUUACCCAAAACAACAAAUAAUGAGUAAUCGAUAUGGUGAUAAAUAAAAGGUGUUUUUUUUAUACACAAAGGAUUGAGGACAUAUGGGAUUAGUAUUAUUCUUGUGUUUCACUUUGCAUGUUUUGACUUCCUCAAUAAUUUAAUUGGUUUAAGAACAAUCAAAUUAUUCUAACGGGCCACAGUCGUUCAUAUGUUGGAAGUAGGUAUGAGUGAAGACUGUCGUGAAUUGGCGUGUGGAUUGUCUAAAGUGUAUUAGACAUAAGCAAAUGUUUGCUGCAACGUUCAUGAGUGCUUAUGAAUAUGAUUUGAGCAUUGGAUUAAACCCAUGCUCACUUGGAUCACUUCAUGGAUUUUAUCACGAGUGAUUGGUGAGAUGAUAAUAUCUUAUAUUCUUGAAACCUAGAUGUGUGAGUUGUAUCUUGCGAAUCGGUUGCAUAUUGAUAAUAUGUAAACGCACCAAUAACUUGGUAUUAUAAAACAUAUUGUUGUGUGUAAUUCGGUAAGUGAGUGCAAGCGAGCAUUGAAUCAAAGUUUAUCCGUUCCUUUUAUCCAAAGUAGGAUAAAAGCGAUAUAUGUGGGCCCCUCGAUGAUUUAGUGAUGGCACCUAAGUGCUUGGCCAAGCCGGGACUAAAUUAAUGUGUUCAAUUGUAGUCUGUUGUCAGUCGUCAUAAAUCUAAAUUCGGGAAACAACACAUAGACAAAGAGAAUGAUCUAGAUCCAUGUCUCAGUCUAUAUGAUAUCUAGAAUGGAGGAAUAUAUGAUCCCUUAUCUAAAGGACACACGUAUCUGAUAAGAUCAGAGUUGACNGAAAGCUACGAUUGCAGAUCAGGAUCUGAAGUCAUACGCAGAAUAGUUAUUAGACUUAUCCAAGUGGGAGAGUGUUGGAUUAGUGUCUAAGUCCAUAACUAUUUUGGUAUGUACUUGACCCGAUGGUGCAUGGUCCUUUUGGGUUCCCUUCAUCAAAGCAACUUGAUAGGAUGAAUUAUGGAGAGAAAGGAUUAAAUAUGAUUUAUUAAUAUAUUAUGAGAAUAAUAUAUUAAAGGAGAAAUCAUAUUGUUUAACUAAUAUUAGUCAAGAAUUAAAAAAAAUUAAGUUUGUGGCUAAAAGAGAUUAAUUAAACUUAAGGGACUAGAAUAGUAAUUGUAAGAUAAUUCCAAUUGGGCCAUGGAUUACCUUAUAAUAUAAGGGUGGACGAAUUCUAUGGGGAAACCUAUUAGAAAUCCUCCAAGGCCUUUAAGGAAAGGAUUCCAUGGGUUGCUUAGGGCUUAAGCAUCCAAAUUAGGGUUUCCUUGUUAGAUAACCCUAAUAACCUCUCUAUUUAAAGGACCCUUAUGGCUCAAAAACGUAGUGAACUUGUUGAUUAGGGUUUCUACACGUUUUGGGCAGCCUCCUUCUCUUCUCUUCUUCAUCCUCUUGCUCUUGGUGUUUGUGAACCAUUAGAGGAGUGACAUUUGUGACUCUAAGCUUUCUAAAGUCAUUACAAGGAGGAUUUGAGAUUGUUAAUGCUACAUAACAAUCAAGGUAUGAUCUAAACCCUAAUUCAUAUGUUAUAUUGAUUAUCAUAUACUAGAUCUAGGGUUUAUAGUCUUGGAUAAAUUGCAUGUACCAUAGAGAAACCUAGAUCCAAGCAUUAGGUUUUGUAUGAGCACAUAGGAUGUUCUUAUGGCUAAAACCCAUCAGUAUCCUGCGCAACCCUCCUGGAAGUAGCGUCUCGCCCUUGCCGCUGAACAAAAAAUCGAACCUCGUUGUGGCCUCUCGCCCUAAAUCACUAACUCUCCCCUACUUGGAGAGCGAACUCUCACCAGCUGCAGCUCACAAUCAGUCACAGCCCCGUUGGGACUUAACCAAUCCAUUCCUACUAUGACCUUGUUCCCAUGCAGGUGAAGAGGAACCAGAUCAAUCGAGAACUGCUCAUCAAACAUCUAUAGUGUACAUCCCCUGUGAACUCUCGCGACUUUGACAGUCCUGUCAUCUACUAUCUCAACAUCAAGUGGACAAUCUAGCUCUCCUAGAGAUCUACUAAAUCGCUUGCUAAGAGCGAGCGAUACAAAGGGUCGGGUAGCUCCCGAAUCAAACAAUACCGUAGCUGAAAUUGUUGGAUUAGUGUCUAAGUCCAUAACUAUUUUGGUAUGUACUUGACCCGAUUAUGAGCAUGGUCCUUUUGGGUUGCCUUCACCAUAGCAAUAUGUAGGAUGAAUUAAGGAGAGAAAUGUUUAAAUAUGAUUUAUUAAUAUAUUAUGAGAAUAAUAUAUUAAAGCAGAAAUCAUAUUGUUUAAUUAAUAUUAGUCAAGAAUUAAUUUUGUGGCUAAAAGAGAUUACUUAAAUUUAGGGGACUGGACUGUAAUUAUUGGAUAAUUGAGUUACUGGGCUAAGGAAUGCUAAAGGAAUAAGGGGUGAACGAAAUUAUGAUGGGAGCCCAUCAUAUUUUGGUCCAUGGCCUUAUCCAGAAGGUUCCAUGGGCUGCUUAGAGUUUAAGCUGUCCAUUAGGAUUUUGACUGAAACCCUAGCAGCCCACACCAGUACAUAAAGGACCCCUUAGGCCCCAAAAACGUGAACAACUGACUCUCUCGGGUUUCUAGUCGUUUUUUGGGCAGCCUCCUUUCUUCUCCUCUUCAUCCAAGUUGCAUAAGGUGUUUGUGACUCCAUUAGAGGUGCAGCACUUGAAGCACUAAGCUUUCUAAGGCCAAUCCAAGCAAGGAAUUGAUUGUUAUUGCUAUAUAACAAUCAAAGGUAAUUCUCUAAACCCUAAUUCAGUUUAUAAUAUGUUAGAUCUAAGUUUAUUAGUCUUGGAUUCAAAGCAUGUACAAUAGAGAAACCUAGAUCCAAGCAUUAGGGUUUGUAUGAGCACAUAUGAUUGUUUCUUAUGCAUAAAACUCAUCAGUGGUAUCAGAGUCUUGAUUGGUUUCAGUUGUAUGUGAUGCUUAACUGCUUUGUUUGCUUGAAAUCGAGUUUUUGGCCUCUGCCCGACUCAACUCGGCGAGUCAGUAUCUGGACUCGGCUAGUUGGCCCCUACUCGGGGAGUUUAGAGCUGACUCGACGAGUUCGAGCGUCAGACAGAGGGUAUUUCGGGAUUUAACUGCUGUUUUGACUUGGAUCUAAUGCCUAAUUCGUUUUUUUAAGUUAAAAUCUGAAUUUUAUCUUAAAUUAAUGAUUAUCCUUGCCAAAACAAUAGAUAAUUUCAAAUCUUUUAAAUAUUGGUUGUUUAUGUGAUAAAUAUGGAUUAUUUUAAAUUAUUUGGUAAUUAUCUAAUGACUAAAAUAAGAUUAGGUCAAAUAUAGAUAAUGACUAAAUUAAUUGUUUAACUUAUAUUAUUUGUUAUUUGAUCCUUUGUGAUAUGGAAAACUUUCAAUUGCACCCUUUAGGUUUUAUAGUUUAAAUUUGAACUUAAAAGUCCUCUUUAUGAAAUUUAAAUAAGUUAAAACCUAAUGUUUUGAAAUGUUUCAAAAACUUGCCCUCAAGUUUUGGAAUUUAAAAGUUGAUUAAAAGUUUAAUUUUGAAAUGUUAAAUUCUAAAACCCUAGUAAUUUGAAAAGUUCAAAUCACACCCUUAUGGUUUUAUUAAUUAAUUAAAGUGUAUAAUUAAAAGUGAUUUAAUAAACCCAUAAAGUUUUGGUUUACAUUUAAUUAAAUUAAAAGUAUAAUUUUACUAAAUUAAACCACCUAGUAUUUUAAAAGUGUAAAAUACACCCUAUACUAUAUAUAACAUUAAAAGUCUAAUAUUAUAUAUGUAUGAGUAAAAAGUCAGUCUUACCGUUAGUAGGCCUCAUUCACGAAGCUGGUCUAUAAGGGGUGUUUAAGGAAAUUGCCUAUAAAAUGGCGAUUGAAUGGGUAUCCACUCUUACCCACCGCACUCUUGACUAGUGGAGGGUCGUUAGCCGAACGGGUAGGAUAGGACAGAAACCUUCCAUUAUAAGUAUAAUGAAGUACAAAGUAACUAAAUGCUUUUUCAAAUUCCCAAAUCAUAGUUACUUUAGGCAAAAUGUGAAAUUGUAUGCUAACCCAUGGAAUUACACUUCGUACCCUUGUCAAACGUUAGUGGAGCGUGUGUGGUUAACUGGCACACUAAUUUGAGGAUGACAUUGGUGGCGAAGGGUGGAUCGAUGCUUAUCAUAGAUCAAUGGAGCGUGUGUGGCUAACCGGCACAUUGAUUAGGUGAUAGUAGCAUUGGGUGCACCACAUGAUUCGUAUGGUUAUUCACACCUUGUUUGUGAUCCUCGGCAUCCCAGUCACAAAUAGUAGGGCAUAAUCGAGAUUAAACAUGCCAUUGAAAAGUUCAAUGAAUCUCAAAAGAUCUAGGAGUUUCAAUUCAUUUAAAACUUAAACUUCCUUUUCGUUUUUCAUGGUGGAAAUUGGUAAAUCGUCAUUUACCUACCUUCAAAUAUUCUGCAACUAGAUUACGGCAUCCCUCUUCUAGGUUGUAGAGUAUUGUGUUGGAUCCUAGCUUGAUGUUUCAUUUAGGUGUUACAUCAAGAAUUCUAAUCAACAUAACUUGAAUUUUCUCCCGUUUUGUAGAUGACUGAAUCUUAAAAUGGUCUUCCCAAAUCCUUUGGAACAAGCUUUCCAAAUAAAGAUGACAUUUCGAGAUACAAUCAAGGAAAUGAGAGUCAUGCUUCACUUCCUCCACCUCCUCAAAUUGUUCUCCCUGACCCACAAGUUCAAAGGCUUGAAAAGUUCAAGCUCACUCAAGCUCUUUUGGCAAGUAGACACAAAGAUGGGAAACCUGUGCGUGCACACGUCUUAGAGAUGAAGUCACACAUUGAUAGGUUAAGCAUGUUGGGUGUCGAGAUUUCAAGCGAGUUGGCUGUUGACUGGGUUCUUCAGUCACUUCCUGAAUCAUAUAGUGAGUUCGUUAGAGAGUACUAUAUGAUGGACCACGACGUGACCCUAAUUGAUCUCACCUAUUUGCUUAUAGCUGCUGAAUCAGCAAUGAUUUGGCGUGCUGGUCAAGCAAAUUUGUCUGGUGAAUCAAACUCCCAAACUUCAAUGGACACUGGCAACAUUGGAAGUCCAGAAAGAACUAAGUCUGUGAUUGUCCGAUGUGCUGUGCCAAAGGAGUCCAUUUGCUUUUAUUGCCAAGAGAAGGGGCAUUGGAGACGAAGCUGCCCUAACUACCUGAGAGAUCUAAGAGAUGGGAGAGUCAAGACGUAUGGCUCUACUUCAGGUAAAAUCCAUUAUCUAACUCUUUUGAGUUCCUAUUCUAGAUUCUUAAUACAUGAUGUGAUAAGAUUACAUUUUGAUGUUUUGUAGGAUCGAAGAAAAGAGAGGAAGCUUGAGGGAAGAAGUGAGCUGAAUCUAAUCAUGAAGAAAUGGAUUUCGAUCGCAUUACUUGAAGAAUGGAUUCUUGAGCUACUACUUGGAGUUAGAAUAGAUUGUUAAGAAAUAUGUAAUAACAUAGUUUUUCAAUUGAAUUGCAUUGUAAGGACAAAUUUUUUCCGCAAUAAAAUGAAUUUUGAUUUUAUCUUAUUUAUUUAUCCUUGCAAUGGCAUGUAUGAAAAAUUGAUGUUUGAAUGUUUCUAUUAUUAGCAAUAAUGGAUUUGAUUCUUAAUUAUGUUAUUUGUGGAAAUGUCAAAAGUUUACCAAAUAGGGAGAGUUUCUCAUCGCCCAAGUUUCAAUUGGACAGAAACUUGGAAUCAUGCAAUGUGUAUUGUAUGAUGAAUGAAAAACUUUCACAUUUGGGAAACUUAGACUAAUUCUUUGACAAAGUGUCAAUUGAAGGACUAGGAGAUCAAUUGCACUAGUUUGUGCGUUGAUCAAUUCCACCACUAGAGUGACAAAGAUAUUCAUCAUGAUUUACUAAAGUUUAGUAAAUAUGGUUAUACUUAUAAGAUUGAGUAUAAUUCUGAGUUAACUGAAAUAGUUUCAAUCAAUAGCAGAACGAAUAAGAAGAAUCAAGAAGGCAGAAAGAUAAAAGUUUCUCCAUUCUAAGAAGAAGGGAGAGUACCUUUUAUUGUGUUUUAUGAUGAAGUCUUAAUGAUUAAGAACCAUAUCUCAAUUGAUCCUCUAAGUGAGUCUUAGUGCAUUUGCAUGUCUAAGAAGAGGAAUCGAGAAUUGUAGAAAUGGUUAAAUCAAAGAGUCAAUCAUACUUCGUUCCAAUAUCAAGUCUUAGAGUCAUACUCCAAGAUUGUGACAUUGAGUGACAAGUCUUAAGUAGGUUUAUAACACUCAUCAAAUGUGGAAUUUGGAAAAGUUUUCUUAUUCUUGCACAUUAGAAAUUGGUAAGUUGUGAUGUCUUGGAUAAGACAAAGACCAACUAGGACCAAUUUGUGAAGUGUUUUGUCUUGAUAAAUGCUACACUAACUCUUGAAUAUUUGUUUAUCAAGAAAUGUUUCUUCAUAAGAGAAUCCAAUAUGUCAAGGAGUCAGUGGGAGUUUUAAUGUUUUUUGAAAAGUUUUCGAAAACAAAUCAAGAAUAAACCUUAUCGAUCAUCACUAGCACACGACUUGAGGUUUACAACCUAUCGUGUUGACAUUAUUUUGUUUCUGUGCCAUUCCAAUUGAGUUAAUUGUGUAUGUGAGUUCUAUGAGUUCUCAUUUGAAUGCAUACUAGAGCCUUAGUCGAUGGAAAGUACAUUGAUAUGUAAGGACAAGUUACUAAACUACUUGGAAGACAUGGUGGGCACUCGUGUUACCAUAAGGCAAGAAAUCAAGAUUAAGAAAGUUCAGUCCAUAUGAGUUUGGAUUUGUCGCAAACCUUGGUUUUGGCAAAUUCACAUGGAUAGGAACUCAUACACCAUAAAAUCUAAGUGUCAUAAGAUUCCCUCCUUCAUGAAAAUGACUGUGAGGAAAUGCUUUCACUAAGAGAGAUUUUAAGAAGAUAGCAAUUGUGAAAAUUGUAUUCUCAAAUUCGAUUAUGGUUACGGCAUCCCUUUCCAUAGUUCGAAUUAUGAGAUUUGGCAAUUAGUUUCAACAUUUGGAACUUAGUAACAUAAGUUCUGAAUUGUUUAAACACACAUAUGAGCUAUCUAAGACAAAGGUGUAUAAGGUUAAGGAGCUUAGAUAAAGGCUUAUCGAAGCAUCUGGUAUUAGAAAUAUGAGUUUCAGAAAUUCAAUAGGCAUUAUUUUCUGAAAGAUCAUUUGUUUUCUGAAUACAUGUCAAAGCUAGUGGGAGCAUAAGUGUUAUGCUUAUAUGAUAAUAAUCAUCAUGAUAGUGGGAACAUAAGUGUUAUGCUUGUAUGAUUAUUAUGGCAAGUAUUGCAAGUUAGCAAUAUUAAUUAUAGAAAAACAAAGAUUCAAUUUGCAAAGUUGCAUGGGUUGAAAAGUUGUUUUGCUAUAAUUAAGGGAGAGAAUAUUAUACUUCAUUUCAAAAUCUAAAGCUUAGAUUGAGAAAUUUUAAUAUUUUCAGUCAAAGGAUACAUUGUGUGUUCUUAAAAUUCGAUUAUGAUUACGGCAUCCCUCUUCAUAGUUCGAAUUGUGAGAACAUGACACAUAAAAUAUUAUGGCAAAAGAUUGGUAAAGUAUCAUAUCUUUAUGUAAGACAUUAUGCAUCGUGUCCCAUACGCUUCGGGUAUAGGAUCGAUUGCAAAUGCUAUAAUAUUUUACCAUUCUAAAAUUUUCCAAAUGUCUAGCGCAUUAAGAGGGAAAAAGGACUAGAAUUGGUUUUGACUAAAAUAAUUAAACAACUAUCAAAGGACGAUCCAAAGUUCGCUGAGGAUUGGUCGCUUGUGAGUAGUUGAAAGUAUGGUAUUGGAUGGACCAUAUCGACAUUAUUAUGAAUAGAUAAGAUUCUAUUAAGAAUGAGUUGUCAUAUGGCAAAUGUGGAAAUGUUUCCAUAUU